GACGAACGCUGGCGGCGUGCUUAACACAUGCAAGUCGAACGGUGAAGCGCCUUCCUUUUUGGUGGGUGUGGAUGAGUGGCGAACGGGUGAGUAACACGUGAGUAACCUGCCCCCUUCUUCUGGAUAACCGCAUGAAAGUGUGGCUAAUACGGGAUAUUCUGGGUCUGUCGCAUGAUGGGUCUGGGAAAGAUAUUGUUUCGGUGGGGGAUGGGCUCGCGGCCUAUCAGCUUGUUGGUGGGGUGAGGGCCUACCAAGGCGGUGACGGGUAGCCGGCCUGAGAGGGUGGACGGUCCCACUGGGACUGAGUCACGGCCCAGACUCCUACGGGAGGCAGCAGUGGGGAAUAUUGCACAAUGGGCGCAAGCCUGAUGCAGCGACGCCGCGUGAGGGAUGGAGGCCUUCGGGUUGUGAACCUCUUUCGCCAGUGAAGCAGGCCUGCCUCGUUUGUGGGUGGGUUGACGGUAGCUGGAUAAGAAGCGCCGGCUAACUACGUG
rnacentral:rRNA from 1 species